rnacentral:hammerhead_ribozyme from 1 species
AUCCAGUUGACGAAUCCCAAAAUAGGAUGAGACGCAAGUCUUGGAU